GUCUAUGGCCAUACCACCUGAAGACGCCCCAUCUCAUCUGGUCUUGGAAGCUACGUGGGGUCGGGCCUGGUUACUACUUGGAUGGGAGAAAGCAUGCAAGAGCUUGGUACUGGGCG
rnacentral:rRNA from 1 species